rnacentral:rRNA from 1 species
AUGGAGCAGAAGGGGCGGCGCGACGGAGCAGGAGAAGAUGGCCGAGAAGAUGUUCAGGCGCGGCGCGGCGGGCGAAGAAGAAGAGUUUUGGUGAUGAGCUUGUGGCCACGCUGGACCAGCUACUGCAGCCCCCCUGCGCCGUCGCCGUGGGUCGCCUGUGUUCUGCUACUCCGGUGCCGGCACCUGUCCCUGUGCGGUGCCGUGCUCAGGAAUUUGACGAAGAAGGCGACUGCCGUGCUUGCGCGCGAGAAGGGCGCCGGACCUCGUUGGCGUUGCGAAGGGGGCACAGCUCAGGUUGGGUACGCCGUCGGCCAGCGCCGGCGGCGAGCACGCUCCGCUGUGACCUGUCCGCCACAGCCAGUCCUCUCCCGCCUCCCCCGACUCCGUGUCCUUGUCCAACGCAAAUCAAUGGAGCUGCCGACCAGGAUUGUUGUUGGCUUCUAUAAGAAGGGAGGGUCCUCGGCUCGAAUCUCCAUCAGGUCAAUUUUGGACGAAGCAUCCAAUGUCAACACCGAGUUCGCCGCAGGAAGAAGCGCCGAGUUCGCCGGAGGUAGAAGAAGCGCCGAGUUCGCCGAAGGUAGAAGAACAGCCGUCGAGCUGUCCAAUCUCGCCUGCAUUGGCUACAGCAGAGACACCCAUGUUGUGUUGUUGGUCUGUUGA